CCAUUUAAGCAACUCUGAGGUCUAAUAAAUGUGGAAAAACAGCAAAAUUCACCCUCAAAGCAAUUAAUAAAGUGGUAAAAUGUGUGAUCUUCAGUGAUAAAAGCAACCCUAACGCGCCCAAAAGGCAGCGUAGCGUAAAAAUACGCGAGAAAUUUACCUGUUGGCCUAACGAUAGCCAUCUCCUCUGCACACACACUUAUGUGUGAUCACCUGUUACGCUGGAAAUUGCACCGAAUAAAUUGUAUCUUCCGGAAAUAAUUUAGGGGCAUCGGGGCACAAAUGAUGGAGGUCAAGAAUUUCGCUCUUUGCCACUCGCCCUUCGUCAACUGACAAUGCACACUCGCACGAGAAGAGUGUUUGUGUAAUUGAAUUUGAAUCUGGAUGCAACAUUCGGUGCUGCUGCUGAGCAAAGACGAUGCGGAUUAACGAGGGGUGGGCCAGUGGGCAAAUUGGCCAAAUUUGAGACAAAGCUGUGUUGCUUACGAUGCUGGAGAAAAUGCGCACGGAUUUAAAAAAGCAAAAAAGAAGCAGAAAAAUCCACCUGGCAAACGUCUUUUGGCUUCUCAGCAACUCACCGAGCAAAACCCCCUGCAUAAUGGCUUCAUUGUCUUUCUCGUCCAUUCGACAAACAUAACAAUUACCAAUCAGUGGACAUUUGCACUAAUUUCUGUCCCGGAACCCUU